rnacentral:rRNA from 1 species
AGAGUUUGAUCCUGGCUCAGGACGAACGCUGGCGGCGUGCCUAACACAUGCAAGUCGAACGGGGUCCAGGGGAGCUUGCUCCCUGAAGACCUAGUGGCGAACGGGUGAGUAACACGUGAGAAACCUGCCUCGGAGUGGGGAAUAACUCGGGGAAACUCGAGCUAAUACCGCAUACCCUCGGAUGGUCGCAUGGCCGACCGAGGAAAGAAUUUCGCUCUGAGAGGGUCUCGCGGCCUAUCAGCUAGUUAGUGGGGUAACGGCCUACCAAGGCAGCGACGGGUAGCUGGUUUGAGAGAACGAUCAGCCACACUGGGACUGAGACACGGCCCAGACUCCUACGGGAGGCAGCAGUGGGGAAUCUUGCGCAAUGGGCGAAAGCCUGACGCAGCAACGCCGCGUGCGGGAUGACGGCCUUCGUGGUUGUAAACCGCUUUCAGCAGGAACGAAAAUGACGGUACCUGCAGAAGAAGCUCCGGCUAACUACGUGCCAGCAGCCGCGGUAAUACGUAGGGGGCAAGCGUUGUCCGGAUUCAUUGGGCGUAAAGAGCUCGUAGGCGGUUCAGUAAGUCAGGUGUGAAAGCUCCGAGCUCAACUCGGAGAGGCCACUUGAUACUGCUGUGACUAGAAUCCAGUAGGGGAGCGUGGAAUUCCUGGUGUAGCGGUGAAAUGCGCAGAUAUCAGGAGGAACACCAGCGGCGAA